rnacentral:rRNA from 1 species
UACGGAGGGCGCAAGCGCUGUGCGGAAUUACUGGGCGUAAAGCGCGUUGAGGCGGCCAGGUAAGUCGGAUGUGAAAGCCCGGGGCCCAACCCCGGAACUGCACCCGAUACUGCCCGGCUGGAGUACCGGAGAGGAUGGCGGAAUUUCCGGUGUAGAGGUGAAAUUCGUAGAUAUCGGAAGGAACACCAGUGGCGAAGGCGGCCAUCAGGACGGUGACUGACGCUGAGACGCGAAAGCGUGGGGAGCAAACAGG